rnacentral:rRNA from 1 species
AGAGUUUGAUCCUGGCUCAGGAUGAACGCUGGCGGCGUGCCUAACACAUGCAAGUCGAGCGAUUCUCUUCGGAGAAGAGCGGCGGACGGGUGAGUAACGCGUGGGUAACCUGCCCUGUACACACGGAUAACAUACCGAAAGGUAUGCUAAUACGAGAUAAUAUACUUUUAUCGCAUGGUAGAAGUAUCAAAGCUUUUGCGGUACAGGAUGGACCCGCGUCUGAUUAGCUAGUUGGUAAGGUAACGGCUUACCAAGGCGACGAUCAGUAGCCGACCUGAGAGGGUGAUCGGCCACAUUGGAACUGAGACACGGUCCAAACUCCUACGGGAGGCAGCAGUGGGGAAUAUUGCACAAUGGGCGAAAGCCUGAUGCAGCAACGCCGCGUGAGCGAUGAAGGCCUUCGGGUCGUAAAGCUCUGUCCUCAAGGAAGAUAAUGACGGUACUUGAGGAGGAAGCCCCGGCUAACUACGUGCCAGCAGCCGCGGUAAUACGUAGGGGGCUAGCGUUAUCCGGAAUUACUGGGCGUAAAGGGUGCGUAGGUGGUUUCUUAAGUCAGAGGUGAAAGGCUACGGCUCAACCGUAGUAAGCCUUUGAAACUGGGAAACUUGAGUGCAGGAGAGGAGAGUGGAAUUCCUAGUGUAGCGGUGAAAUGCGUAGAUAUUAGGAGGAACACCAGUUGCGAAGGCGGCUCUCUGGACUGUAACUGACACUGAGGCACGAAAGCGUGGGGAGCAAACAGGAUUAGAUACCCUGGUAGUCCACGCCGUAAACGAUGAGUACUAGCUGUCGGAGGUUACCCCCUUCGGUGGCGCAGCUAACGCAUUAAGUACUCCGCCUGGGAAGUACGCUCGCAAGAGUGAAACUCAAAGGAAUUGACGG